ACAUGCAAGUCGAGCGGUAGAGAGAAGCUUGCUUCUCUUGAGAGCGGCGGACGGGUGAGUAAAGCCUAGGAAUCUGCCUGGUAGUGGGGGAUAACGUUCGGAAACGGACGCUAAUACCGCAUACGUCCUACGGGAGAAAGCAGGGGACCUUCGGGCCUUGCGCUAUCAGAUGAGCCUAGGUCGGAUUAGCUAGUUGGUGAGGUAAUGGCUCACCAAGGCGACGAUCCGUAACUGGUCUGAGAGGAUGAUCAGUCACACUGGAACUGAGACACGGUCCAGACUCCUACGGGAGGCAGCAGUGGGGAAUAUUGGACAAUGGGCGAAAGCCUGAUCCAGCCAUGCCGCGUGUGUGAAGAAGGUCUUCGGAUUGUAAAGCAC
rnacentral:rRNA from 1 species